UUCAUCUUCUGCUUUUAUGAUUGUCCCCAAGCCAGAUUGAUGGAGGAUGGCGAGAGAAUGUGGAUUUGUACUAAGGUGUCACGUGACUGCCUCAGAUUGAAUUGUAAAAAAAUUCUUGAACAGUUUCAUACACUAAGAGGAUGAAGGUUGGGGGAGAGGAUCAGGAAAGGGCUGUUUGAACAAAUGAUUCCCUAGUAGACAUCCAGAAGAGGAGAAAGGAAUAGUGAGAGAAAGCGUGGAGAAGGUCAGAUAGCAGCAGAACAGAGAAAAGAACGCGCAAAGGCAGGAGAGCACGGACUGAAGCCAGAUAUCUACAAGGCAACGAGGCCAGAAAACAACACAGAUAAGGCUGAAUAACGAGGUAGCAGCCAGUUUGUGGAGUAACUUAGGGGCCAGGGCAAGGGAUUUGAUCUUUCUUUUAAGAGCAUUGAGAAACUGUUGAACAUAAUCUAAAAUAAUCCAACCUCUGGUUUAAAGAGAUAACUGGAUCAGCUGUGUGGAAAACAAAUCAUAGUCCUUAUGACUCAGGGAGCAUGGGGUAGGAACUCCUUACGGAAUGCAUAUGGAUUCAUAUGUGAUUUAUAUUUUAUAUCCAAGUCUCUACUCCACCUGGGAUCUUGCUCAUAGCAACAGCUCAGGCUUAUCUUUGAGUAGCGAUGGAUAGCUGUUUGCUCUAGCACCGUUGGUUGAAAAUGCCCUUUGCCUUUUGCUUUUCUACCACAUGUUUGCCCUAAACUCAUUUCUACAGUAGUCACUGUUGUAUGUUUUAGGUGAUUGUAAUGCUCUGGUCUGUUUUUCUCUCUCUGUGCAAAGUCUGUGCUGUCUCAUUUACUGUAAGUCAUCUCCAAGAUUCUCUACGCUAUUCUUCUUCUUCUUUUUUUAAAACCUAUUCAUUUUAUUUAUAUAAGUACACUGGAGCUGUCUUCAGACACACCAGAAGAGGGCAUCAGACAUCAUUACAGAUGGUUGUGAGCCACCAUGUGGUUGCUGGGAAUUGAACUCAGGACCUCUGGAAGAAUAGUCAGUGCUCUUAACUGCUGAGCCAUCUCUCCAGCCCCUAGGCUACUCUUUUUAAUCUCUUGUCUUUUAAUACAUUUUAGAGUCAGUGUGUCAAUUUUCACACACACACACACACACACACACACACACACACACACACACACACACACACAUCCAUCUAAUGAGGUGUACUUUUUAAAAAGCAACACCCUCUCUUGAGGCUUUUAUAAUGAGUAUCAUACUGGAGGAAAGUGGGAUUUGUCUUAGUUUCUUUUCCCACUGUGAUGAAAAGCCUGACAAAAUCAAUUCAAGAGAGAAAGGGGUUUGUUUUGGCUCACAGGUCACAGCCAUCACUGCAGGGAAGUCAAGGUGGCAGGAGUUUGAAACAGUUAUAACAUUACAUCCACAAUCAGGAUCUGAGCAAAGAAUUAAUGCAUGUGUGCCUAGCUCACUGUCUGCUCAGAAUCUCUUGCUUAGGGAAUAGUGCUGCUUACGGUGGUCUCUCCAAUCUUAAUUAACAUAAUCAAGAUAAUUCUCCACCAGACAUACUCCCAGGCCAACAUAAUGUAGACACUCUCUCAGUGAGACUCUCUUUCCAAGUGAUUCUGGAUUGUGUCAAGUUGACAGUUAUCAAUGACCAUCAUGGGAUCUAUAAAGAACAGAAACUUUCAGUCUGUGAGCCCAGAAUGCCUAUCUGUUUAUAGAGACUAUCCUCGCUUUCUUUUCAGUUGUGUUUUGUACUUUCCUUUUAAAAGUCUCACAUACAUAUUUUUUUUUUUUUUUUAGAUUUACUCCUGGAUAUUUAAUAUUUGGGAUGCUAUUGCAAAUGGUCUUCUAAAAAAUUUGUUUUUAAGUUAUUGCUGGCACUAAUAAAUGCAAUUACUUCUGAGCAUUUGUCUUUAGUCAUCUUAUUACAUUUACUUGUUCAGUCUAAAGUCUGUAGAUUAUUUUGGGGUAUUGUUGUGCAUAUGAUCCUCUCAUUUUCAGACAAUGGAAAUAUUUUCUU